rnacentral:rRNA from 1 species
AACGAGCGCUGGCGGCAUGCCUAACACAUGCAAGUCGAACGAGACCUUCGGGUCUAGUGGCGCACGGGUGCGUAACGCGUGGGAACCUGCCCUUAGGUUCGGAAUAACUCCCCGAAAGGGGUGCUAAUACCGGAUAAUGUCUUCGGACCAAAGAUUUAUCGACUUUGGAUGGGCCCGCGUUGGAUUCGCUAGUUGGUAGGGUAAAAGCCUACCAAGGCGACGAUCCAUAGCUGGUCUGAGAGGAUGAUCAGCCACGCUGGGACUGAGACACGGCCCAGACUCCUACGGGAGGCAGCAGUGGGGAAUAUUGGACAGUGGGCGGAAGCAUGAUCCAGCAAUGCCGCGUGAGUGAUGAAGGCCUUAGGGUUGUAAAGCUCUUUUAACCGGGAUGAUAAUGACGGUACCGAGAGAAUAAGCUCCGGCUAACUACGUG